AAUACAAAUACUGGGAUCUUUGCACAUCCCUAGUAUGCAAUGACAAGAAUCUACAUGUACAUCAUUUAUAGUGUUUGCAGAAAUACAACCGAAAACACAGAAUUUUAAGGGAAACAAACUUAAGUGUUAGUUUAUUCUACAUAUCCAAGAAAUCAGGUGUAGAAUUUGGGAACCACAGACCCAUAAAAAACGCUAGAAGCUACAGAUUUAAAGCAGUGUAUGUCUUAUAACAACAUACUCUCACUUUUUUUUCCUGUGUUGUUUGCUUGUUGCAAGUCUGACAGCGAUGCAGUAAUUAUCUUACGCUGCAUAUUUACAUCCUGCCUUAUCCUGUCAGUUCAACUGGCUUCUCUGGGUUUCAGUGAGCCAGCAUAAGUAAGUAGGUUUACCUGCAAAUAUUUGGAGUAUCGGGAGCAAAAUAGCUGGUGAAGCACUCCUUAUGUCCUCGAGGCUUGGCAGGACAUCAAACAUGUUCUUCAGUUUUCGCCAGACAUCAUGUUUGCUCCUCAAAUGCUCGCUGCUCUACUUGAGGCCGGACAUUCAAGCGAUUGUCUGAGGAGAGAAUAAAUCGUUACAGUACGUUUCUCUGCAGAGGGAAAAAUCUUCCUGGGAUUGUAUGCAUGUGUGAGUGAAGUCUCGUUUACCUUUCACUGACACCCAUUUUCUGUGUGCUGUGGACAAGCCUGCCUGUUUGGCCAUAACGAUUGGGGUGUCUGAGCAUAAUGCAAUUUGACCCGUUGCUAAUGAUGUCCUGACACUUGCUUAGCGGACCUCUACGUUUGGAUAGCUGGCAUCUAAUUGGAAGUGACAGGACAGCACCUGUAGCUUGCCCUGCACAGUGUUUACUAGGAAAAUGUUAGAGGUGACUGUGAGGGAAAGAAGACUGAAAUGAUCUGUGGUGGAUUUUCUUCUGCACUUCAUUCUUUUGCACUCACACUGCCCAGUACAGCCACAGUUCGUCACUGUCGGUUACUGAGCAGCUUGAGUAGAAUAACAAAGGGAUUAUUCACGUUUUUGUGCUGUGUGUUACUCACUAGUAGUGAUAGUCAUGCAUGGACAGCCAGUUCAUGCUCAGGGUCCAGUAGCUAAAGAUAUCCUAGUAACAAAUGUAGACAUUUAAACAGGAUUUUAAACCGCAGUAGCUCUUAGAAAGGUGUUGCUGGAGCUUGGAAGUGAAGUCAGCUGUUGACCAUGAUGCAGUGUAACCUAGAUGUCUAAAAUAAGGUUAGAUUAUUUGACAGUCACACAGUUAUCAGUGCAGUUGACCCAGCGGCCAGAGAUUGUAGUGCUGUUUUUUUUAUCUUGGAAAAACAACAAACACUAAAGCCAAUGAGGUAAACUAACUUGGCACUGAGUACACCAAAUAGAGCUAUGACUGCUAUCUGGGAAAGUCAGACUAGAAAGGCAAACUCAAGACUCAGCCACCAUGAAAACUCUGGCAGAGAUACAGAUAGGUGACAGUCAAAGGAGAGCCUAAAUAAAUGAGUGGAGAAACAUAACAAAUACAGGUGCUUAUACAAUAUAUAGGGCAUUAGGGCUUAGUGAAUGGUUCAAUAAGUAUGAAAAUGUGAGUCACAUAAUGUCACCUUAGCAGUUACCAGAUCUCAACCCAACAUAUCACCUAUGGGAGACUUUGGAGCAACAUGCUGCAUUUCAGCUGUGUUUUUCAGUCAUCCGUCACACACGCAUCUGUAGAAACAGAUACAGUUAUAUUUUAAUCAAUACAGCUGUCUACACAGGUCUCAAUAUGUAACCCAAAGUAUCUUUUUAGGCUUGAAGUCCAUUUUCUUCCCUUUUAGGCACCUACAGUGAUUUUAUAUUGGGCCAAAACACAGUUGACCACACAGUACUGUAGCUGAACACCUCAUGGGCAGAGGACUGGAGCUCUUCUAGAGACUUGUAGUGGGUCAACACCUUACUAAGACAUUUUAUGUUGUUGUUUUUUCCUUUCAUUUGUCACCCAUCCGUAUCUGUGUGUGUACAGGCUCAGUGAAAGGUUACCAUCCAACCCAGUGUGACAUUAUUUCACUGCCGUUGCUGAUACAGUUUGGCCUCUGAACUGCUGAUUGGGCGCUCAAAAAGCCAUGAAGCAUAGUCAUCACCUUUAGGAUGUGAUUUUUGGAUCAGUUUCAGUUCCUCAGUGUUUCAGACCUGCAAGUCAAUGUGUUUUGACACUGAGGUCAAAGUUCAUGUGGAGAGGUGCUUUCAGAAGCAGAUUUAUAGCUGAGGUUUCUGGAUUUUGUAAGCCAAAAACAACUAAACUAUGGUGAUAUCUGUGACAAGCCCUUUCCUGUGAUUGUUUAAUCUUUUUUAAGUUACAAAAUAUUGUGUUCUGUCUUCCAAAUGCUCUCAAACUUUUUUAAAGUAUUCUGUUUUUAAGAGCUUGUCACCGGACAAAUUUCUGCCCUGUUCAAUAAAUUAAUCUGGUUUUAAAUUUUGAAGGUUUAGAGCAGACAGGGCAACCGGAGCAGGAUUCAUUUAAAUAAAACAAAGGAAUGAGAAAACUAGCAGAGGGGUGAAAGGCAAAUCUGUGUGAGAAAAUGAAGCAGCAAACUCUUCACUUAAAGUCAGGCGGACAGUUUUACUUGAUCAAUAACAGCAGCGAAGCAGCUGAAGGUUGUUCCAACACAUUUGUCCAUCAGUGCAGACGACAGCACCUUUAAACUUUUCUAUUUCUGGAAGCUUCCAUCUCUGCUGCAGCCAGCUCCAUAAAAUGAACACCAUUUUUUCUCACUCUCUUUAUCACCCCUGCCCAGGCAUCUCAAGGAGUUAAGAAGGAAAAGAAAAGACUCCAUAUUUUUUCUUAUCCUCAUUAGGCGCUCGCAUAGAGCCCCCUUUUUUUCUUGCGGCCAUCCCGCUUGCCUUUGUCUCUUAAAUCUUUCUCCAGGCCAGGCAGCAGGAGUUGUGAUGGAGCUGGUGCCAUACAGGGUGUGAUCUUCUCCGGCGAUACUGAUGCUCUGAAAAAGAAAGCAUAUGAAUCACCUGGAGAGGUACAAAAACCUCACUUCACCUGCUGUGAAAAGGAGAUCAAUGUCAGAGGAAGGCCCUUCACCGAAGCAACUUAAAUUCUGGGAAACUAAGAGAGUGUCACAGAAAAGUGUUGAUGAUGCCAUCAUUAACUUUGUCAUUCAAGAUAUGCAUCCCCUCAGUAUUGUCAAACAGGAGGGUUUUUAUGCAUCACCUACAACUAGAUGUGGUUGUAAUGUCUCAUGGUACAGUUAAAAACAAAGUUGAGAAAGCAACACUGGCAAUGAAGAAUAAUCUAAAGGCUGCCAUGAUUGCUGGACAGCACACAGAUGGUGUUUCAUUGGUGUCACAGCACAUUGGAUAGAGCCUGAAACUCUGGAGAGACGCUCUGCUGCUCUAGCAUGCAAAUAACUCAAAGGAUCUCAUACCUUUUCUGCACUAGCUGGUGCCAUGAAUGACAUUCAUGCAGAGUACAACAUCCGUGAGAAGACUGUACACACAGUGUAAUGGCUCAAAUUUUAUAAAAGCAUUUCCAGUCUAUGGUGAGAUGGAUGAAAACAAUGAUACAGAAACACUUGAGGGGGCCAAGUCAAACAGGAGAAGGAGAUAACAGUGAAGAAGAGGAAGAGGGGGGAAAACAUUGUGGGCGUUGAGUUUGUUGACGCUUGAACCAUGUUGGAUGAGGAUGAUGGCCUGGAAUACUAACUGCCAAAGCACCAUCACUGUGCCUGCCACCUUCUAAACCUGGUGUCAACAGUUGAUGUCUUAGAAGCAACUGCCAAUACAGUCUAUAAGAGGCUCUCGCUUUCAGUGUUUUCAAAGUGCUGGACUCUCUGAAACAAGAGCGGCAGAUCCACCACAGCUGUAGGGAUAAUCAAAGAAAAAGGCAAACUCCAGCUCUUGAGGCCAAAUGAGACAAGGUGGAAUAAUCAUUUCCUGGCUGUGGAGAGUAUUGUAAGGAUCAUGAGAGAACAAAGAGAAGGAGCCAUUAUAACUAUGUGCAGUGCGCUAAAAAUUCCCAUGUUCACUCCUGCUGAGAUUGUGUUUCUCACAGAAUAUGUGAAGAAUAUGUGAAGCAUUUGCAAAGGCGGUCGAUGUUCUUCAGGGAGAGACAAGUGUGCAGAUGGGAUCACUGGUACCUACUGUAACACUACUCAAGGCUAAGCUCCAGCACCCUCACAUUUCAUCCAUGUUCUGUGGGCCUUUGGUGGAUGCUCUUCAAGCAGGAUUUGAAAGGUGUUUUGGACAGAUGGUUACUGAUCCAGAACUUAUUGCUGCUGCCAUUCUUGUCCCCAAGUUCAGGACAUGUUGGCCAUGUGGCGAAGGCAUCUGAAAACUUGGUAUUAAAUCAAAAGCCGUCUGAAGGAGCAACCCAUGGUGCAUCCAGUCGACACUUCCCAUUCUUCAGAGGAGGACUUCUUUCUGCCCAUCAAGUAGUGCAAUGCUCAAGAAAACACCAAGCAGCUUGAGUUCUACCUGGUCUGGCCAGCUGAUACCAUGGAUGUCCUGAAAUCUUUCCCCAGCAGUGUGCAAAUUUGUCUCUCAAGCUCAACACACUUCUACCUGCCUCAGCUGCGUGUUAGAGGCUUUUUAGCACUGUAGGACUGAUUUUUAGACCCAAAGGGCACACCUUGAUUCAAAGAACUGUGAGAACCAGCUUCUGCUGAGGUUGAACAAAAGGUUUUUGUAGUCAUGUAGGGAUGAGAGAAUUUUUAACAAAAGAGUUUAAGGCUUAAUUAGACCUUAAGAGUGUUCUCAUGUUCAUGUUUCGAGUUCUGCUGCUGACAUUGAAAACUGUGAAUGGUGAACAGUACAUGUAGAAAGUAUAAGCGGGGAAAAAAAGGUUCAUUCUUGGUUUCAGGGGGGCCGGUUGACCCCCAAACCUGCCUUGUAAAAAGCUGUCAGCCACAGAAAAGGUUACAGGUUACAGAGAAGUGAGAGAAGUGACCAUCAUCAGGAGUCUGAUUUGUACUAAAUGUUUAUCCAGCUGCUGAAUGAGGGAAUUUAUCUUUAGGUGAAAAGUGUUUUAUUUUCUAAUCCUGAUUAUAGUUGAAAUUUCUUUUUUUUUUUUGACAUAUGUUUUUUGGAGCAAAGUUAAUGUUCAUUAUUUUAAGUAUAUUGUUUUUUAUUUUAUUUCAAGUUAGAAUGAUUUAACUUUAACAGUAUUCAAAUUAUAUUAAUAUGACAUGAGGUUCAAUUAGCUUUGCACAGAAACAGCCUGUAGAAAUGUCCUUCAGACAGCCACUUUUAUACUUUUGAAUACAUGUCAGAGAAUGUGUAUACUUUUGCCACCUCUGUCUCUAUCAUUUAACUUAGUACUCUUAAAAAUUAAAAAAUUACAAUUAUCCAUACAGAAAAAUGUCAAAACCUGACAAUUUUAGCUUAAUGCUCAAGUCAACAUGUCAGCUUUGUUUAUGUGGCUUACUAUUUACAAUGACAUUGACUGAAGAGAUUGGCUACAAAUCAGAAGUGAAAGGUCAAGGUGUCAUUGUUCCUAAGUGGCACCAUGUAGAUUGUAUUGUAUCUUCCUUUUGUUGUGUUUGUUCUGUUUUCAUAUGACCGUUGGCCUUGUGAAAUAAAUCUUUUGGACGUUCCAUUGAUUGAUAGGAAAGCAGCCUGUUGAGAUGCGAUUAACUGUGUAUAACACAUCAGAUACAGGCUGUUUGCCCGCAGAGUCCUCAUGUUGUGUUGAGUGUCGUUGUCAAUACUGUGGAUUAAUGCAUGGAGAUAAUCAGUAUGUGUGAGUGUGUGUGAGCUGAGGAGUCGUUCUCUUUUCUAUUACAGCCUAUGGUGUGGAUGGUACCCAUCCAUCAGUUCAAAGAGCAGAAUAACCAAGAGUGACAUUCAAUUACGGUAUGCUAAUUUGUGUUCUUUAUAUAUUUAUUUGUGCUUCACCAUUCAUUUACUUAAUUAACAAUUUUGGACGUGAGCUAUCAUGAGCAGAUUGCAAUAUUCUUUCCAAUAACGGGCCAUAAUGAAAUAUAUUAUUAGCAAUAAAGUUAAUGGAACAAGCGAAGUGAGACUCCUCAUCACCAUUGGAUGGAUGGCAAAUUAAGGAUAAUAAAGGGAACAAACAAAGAACACAGACUUUGGAAAAUAGCUCCUGUAAAUUAUUGUUAAAGAUUUCUCUCAAACAUCUAUAGGAUGUGCACUGUGAUCUACACUUGCGUUGUAUCAUUGUGACACACAAUGGCACCUACAUUGUCCACCUGUCACUGGAAGGCCUAAAGAGAACCUUUUCCCUGGGUGGUUAUUGCAUAUUGGACCUUGUUCUCAAUUAAAAUAUAAUUAAAGGGCUAAAAGAGAGGGCUGGAUGUUUUGACAGGUCCAAUAGAACUCAAGACGCUUGAAGUUAAUUAAAAAUAUUUAGCUGCACUGUUCAAUGUCUGCCAUUCACUUGGAAAUUUUCACUUAAGGCUUGAUUGUUAUUGUCACUAGCUCCAUUUUACAGCAAUUUAUCUAAUUUUAUAAAAGAACAUCUUCCAAAAGAAAUAUUUCUUUGUUUUGAUGAACAUGGAGCUGAAUCAUGAUGACAUAAAAUAUAGGAUCCACCUGAAACCUGAAAUGGGUAUGUAAAUGAUGGCAGGAUGUUUAGCAGUUUUCAACCCAUACGACAACCCAGACUUUAUAUUUAAAUAUGAUGGCAAAGUGAAACUUAAUAUAUAAGUCUUGUGACUGUUUGAUCAUUGUGAGUCUUACCAUGUAACCUUUAACUGAGAUAACUUUAGCCUGAUUACAUAGUAAGGUACAAUCAAUGUAACAGAAGGGUUUGUUGAAUAUGUAUGUUGGUCUUUAGGGGUAUGAACAGAAAAUUUGCUAACUGUUAAGUGUUUAGAAAGGCCAAGGCUGAAAUGAUGUGUUAGAGGGUAGCAAGAUUGCCACAAUACCUUAGAGGGGAACAAAACCAGAUAAGGAUGUUUACUGGAGGAAGCAGUCUUGACAAGAGGGAAGAGUUGUACGGUGUGCAUACCACAAACUAACUUUGUGCUGUGUACCAUGC